CUAUUUCCUGGUAUUUUCAGAACUGAAGAGGUGAAAAUUAGUGAUUCCAAAGAAAAAAGGUGGAGGGAGCAGAGAAAAAGAGGGGACCAUUCCCCAGGGAAGUAGUAAAAUUGGCCAGUAGCCCAGGAGAAAAUGCGGUCCCUUUCAACGAUUGUUUAUGAUACAUGUCUCUUUGUAAACAAAGAGGACACAUCUGUUGGGUGUGCAAUGACUAAAAAGAGCCACAGUGUCUUGUGGGGUGGAGGUGGUGCUGGGGGAUGGGAGGGGGGCGGGUCAUCCUCUGCUUUGCUAAUAAUAGGAGGGGAAAUUUGGGACCCGAACUCACCAGUGACGUCGCCUCACGUGACCAGGAGCUGGUGUGUUGAAGCCUCGGUCCAGAUAGCGGUUCUUGCUCAGGUAACCAGCUCCGGAUUGCCUUGGAGUGGCGUGACUGUGGGCAAAGAAGAAGGAGGACGAAGAGGAAACCCUUACCGAUUCCUGUCGGUCACGGUGAGGAUACAGCUUGCAGUUUCAGACUCCGCAUCUGACCGGUUCUCACUAGCCUUUGAGAGAAAGGAGACCCCUGAGAUACUCGCUUCUGCUGCGACAUGGGCCGUGCUCAGAAUUUGGGCUUGAUGGCUACGGGCCUGGUGGUCGGGGCUGGCUCCUGGUACUACAUAUACCGACUGACGUUUGGUGGAGAGCAGAACAAGAAGAGACCAGCUGAUUCGAAAGACAUUAAUCCUGCCUACAAAAAGUUUAGAAAAUACAGGAAACUGUAAGGAAGAAAAUAAGAAAUAAACCACAGAUAAUUAACUAA